AGAGAUAGGUAGCACGUUACUCACUUCGUUUAUUUUAUUUAAAAAUAAACUUAGCUAGAAAUAUGAAUCAACUAGGAUUCGAACUUGGAUCUCAAGUACCAACCACCAAACCGUUUGUCACUUGCUUUAGGGACGGUCGGUUAUAUCUUAUUUUUAGUUACUUAAAAAAAUUAUAUCCUGUAUUUGGGAGAUAAAAAUAUAAUCGUGUGUUUAGAAU
rnacentral:lncRNA from 1 species